GAUUCUAUUACACUUAUCAAAAUAAUUAUCCUUAAUCCAGCUGAAUGUGAUCGGUAUAUGGAAGGCGCAUGCGUUUUUAAGCAUUACGGAGCCGAUUUCUCUGAUGACUACAGUGAACAUAAACCAGCAGUGAAGCCUGUUUAACGAUGUAAGCUCGAAGUAAUUUUCAUUGGUUGAUGAAACUCAAAGAUUAAAAGGUCCUUAAAUUGAAAUCUAGUACUGCACUGUUAACUUUUUGCGUAUGUAAAUAAUUUCUAUGAUAGAAUAUCAAUUUGUGAAUAUGUUUCAUUAUCACUGUAAUUUUAAACAAAAUCAGGUUAAUUUUCCCGAAACUCAAAUUAAUAAUUAACUUUACUUUUUUCUAGCAUGGCGGGUACGGAUUAAAAAUCCCAACAUCAGUCACAGCGCUUCCGAAGCACUGCUCGCCGCGGCCAGGGAGCACACCGGCGUGCCGGGAUUCCGGUUUCCGAUCCGUUCCGAGCGGGAAAUCGAACGCCUGGAGGCGGCCGUUCGCAACGAAGCGUACAAAUGGGAAAACUAUACUGCCUUCCUGCGGGAUCUGAAGGUGAACGACCCGAACACGCCGAUACGGUGCAUUUUUCAGUCGGUCUUCUACGACGAGGCGCUAGUCAACUACAAUUACAACGGCAUAAGCAAUACCCCGGGGGUUAAGAAACGGGCCAUGAAGGGGUACGCCAUCUUUCGGGAUUGCUUCCUGGCGGCCUGGCUUCAGUUUGGAGUCACUGACGACAUGAUUCGAGGCAUGCUGACAGAGAUCAUCAAGAACAUUAACAGACGAAGGCGGAAUCGGCAGUACAAGAAUCGAAUUCAGAGGAAGAAGCUUCAAAACUCGUUUGCGCUUUAAUCGUUUUUCUCGAAUCAUCCUCAAACUGGGAUAUGCUUUUGCAGUACUAGAACGCAAUGUGAAUAUCAGUAUUAUCAUGACAACGGUGUAGGACGACAAAUCCAAAUCAUCGCCAUCAAUAAAACAUUCCAAUCAAUGUCACAUCAUACAAUAAAGCUUUCUUCCACAAA